rnacentral:rRNA from 1 species
GAUGAACGCUGGCGGCGUGCCUAAUACAUGCAAGUCGAGCGAACAGACGAGGAGCUUGCUCCUCUGACGUUAGCGGCGGACGGGUGAGUAACACGUGGAUAACCUACCUAUAAGACUGGGAUAACUUCGGGAAACCGGAGCUAAUACCGGAUAAUAUAUUGAACCGCAUGGUUCAAUAGUGAAAGACGGUUUUGCUGUCACUUAUAGAUGGAUCCGCGCCGCAUUAGCUAGUUGGUAAGGUAACGGCUUACCAAGGCAACGAGGCGUAGCCGAACUGAGAGGGUGAUAGGCCACACUGGAACUGAGACACGGACAAGACUCCUAAGGGAGGCAGCAGUAGGGAAUCUUACGCAAUGGGCGAAAGCUUGACGGAGCAACGCCGCGUGAGUGAUGAAGGUCUUCGGAUCGUAAAACUCUGUUAUUAGGGAAGAACAAAUGUGUAAGUAACUAUGCACGUCUUGACGGUACCUAAUCAGAAAGCCACGGCUAACUACGUG